CGUCAAAGCUUAAUUACUUGACACUUAACCAAUCCCUCAAACCCCCAAAGAACCCCUCAUUAGUACUGAAUGAUCUUAUACUUCUAUAAGACCCUUUAUGUUAAAACUAGUAACAAGAAGCUAACCCUCUCUUAUAUGUAAGCAUACGUCAGAACAGACAAUCUACUGACUCAUAACAGCCAUAAACUUUAGUGAUACCACCCCAAGAAAACCUUACUUAAACAACUGUUAACCCGACACAAGAACAUAAAAAGAAAGAUUACAAGAAAAAGAAGGAACUCGGCAAAUUUUGAUUCCGCCUGUUUACCAAAAACAUCGCCUCCUGCCUACAUAUAGGAGGUCCAGCCUGCCCAGUGACCUAGUUCAACGGCCGCGGUAUCCUAACCGUGCGAAGGUAGCGUAAUCACCUGUUUUUUAAUUAAAGACCUGUAUCAAAGGCAUCACGAGAAUCGCACUGUCUCCUUUCUCCAAUCAGUGAACCUAAUCUCCCCGUGAAAAAGCCGGGAUAAUUAUACAAGACGAGAAGACCCUUUGGAGCUUUAGAUAAAGUAAUAUAUUGCUUCCACUAUUUCCCACCUACAUAAAAUAGCAUCUAUCUUACAAUUCUUCGGUUGGGGCAACCGCGGAGCAUAAAACAACCUCCAAGCUGAAUGGAACUUUCCUUAACAAAAAGCCACAUCUUUAUGUAUCAACAAAUUGACAUUAUGACCCAAUAUUUUGAUUAUCGAACCAAGUUACCCUAGGGAUAACAGCGCAAUCUACUUCAAGAGCCCAUAUCGACAAGUAGGCUUACGACCUCG
rnacentral:rRNA from 1 species